rnacentral:rRNA from 1 species
GUGCAUCGGCAGCUAUAAUGCAGUCGUGGGGUAACCCUGCAGCAAUGUAGGGCUAGACCGGCAAACGGGUGAGUAACACGUACGCAACCUGCCUCUAACUGGAGGAUAGCCCCUCGAAAGAGGGAUUAGUACUCCAUGAUGUUACGGAAGGGCAUCCUUCUGUGACCAAAGCUCCGGCGGUUAGAGAGGGGCGUGCGUCCCAUUAGGUAGUUGGUAGGGUAACGGCCUACCAAGCCAACGAUGGGUAGCUGGCGUGAGAGCGCGACCAGCCACACGGGCACUGAGACACGGGCCCGACUCCUACGGGAGGCAGCAGUAAGGAAUAUUGGUCAAUGGGCGCAAGCCUGAACCAGCCAUGCCGCGUGCAGGAUGAAGGCCCUCAGGGUUGUAAACUGCUUUUCUCAGGGAAGAAACCCUCGUUUUCUAACGAGGCUGACGGUACCUGAGGAAUAAGCACCGGCUAACUCCGUGCCAGCAGCCGCGGUAAUACGGAGGGUGCGAGCGUUAUCCGGAUUCACUGGGUUUAAAGGGUGUGUAGGCGGGCAGGUAAGUCAGCGGUGAAAGCCCCGAGCUUAACUUGGGAAUUGCCGUUGAUACUAUCUGUCUUGAAUGUUGUGGAGGCGAGCGGAAUAUGGCAUGUAGCGGUGAAAUGCUUAGAUAUGCCAUAGAACACCGAUUGCGAAGGCAGCUCGCUACGCAACCAUUGACGCUGAGGCACGAAAGCGUGGGGAGCAAACCGGAUUAGAUACCCUGGAAGUCCACGCC